GAUCAUGGCUCAGGAUGAACGCUGGCGGCGUGCUUAACACAUGUAAGUCGAACGAAGCAUUUGCGACAGAUUUCUUCGGGAUGAAGUUGCUUAUGACUGAGUGGCGGACGGGUGAGUAACGCGUGGGUAACCUGCCUUGUACUGGGGGAUAGCAGCUGGAAACGGCUGGUAAUACCGCAUAAGCGCACAAUGUUGCAAGACAUGGUGUGAAAAACUCCGGUGGUAUAAGAUGG
rnacentral:rRNA from 1 species